UACGGAGGAUGCGAGCGUUAUCCGGAUUUAUUGGGUUUAAAGGGUGCGUAGGCGGGCUUUUAAGUCAGCGGUAAAAAUUCGGGGCUCAACCCCGUCCGGCCGUUGAAACUGGGGGCCUUGAGUGGGCGAGAAGAAGGCGGAAUGCGUGGUGUAGCGGUGAAAUGCAUAGAUAUCACGCAGGACCCCGAUUGCGAAGGCAGCCUUCCGGCGCCCUACUGACGCUGAGGCACGAAAGUGCGGAGAUCGAACAGG
rnacentral:rRNA from 1 species